CCAAAGGCCUCAGCCCUGUCUUAAAUCAUCAUCAAAACUCUUCUCAGGAUACUCAGAAGUUUUACAUCCCAAAAUUGUGGUUUCUCCCCCAAAGCUGGGCUGAGGAAUAAAGAACCUAAUGAUUCAAAAGGGUGUGAAAUAUAAAAUGGAGCUGCACCAAUCGUGGUGAAAGAAGCUGCACCAUUCCACAGCAGCAAGCAGACUGCCUUGAACAAACCGUUUCCAGCCCUCUGAAGUUGGAUUCAGCAUUCUAGAUGGCAGAUAAGACUAAAUUUUGUCCAUGUGACCUUGGAGAUGUGUUUGAUUAUCAACCUCUGGGACAAGAAGUGUCAAUUGAGCAUAUUAAGGCCUAUGUGAAGAAGCCCUCUUCCCAGACUGAUGCAGCUGUAAUUGUGAUUCAUGAUAUAUUUGGAUGGCAACUCCCAAAUACUAGAUAUAUUGCUGAUUUGGUUGCUUCCAAUGGAUACAUGUAAGAA